AGCAGCCGCGGUAAUUCCAGCUCCAAUAGCGUAUAUUAAAGUUGUUGCAGUUAAAAAGCUCGUAGUUGAAUUUCGGGAUUAGUACGUUGGUCGUGCCUUCGGUACGUACUGGUGUUACUGAUUCCUACCUUCUGACGAACUAUCAUGUCAUUAAUUUGGUGUGGUGGGGAAUCAGGACUGUUACUUUGAAAAAAUUAGAGUGUUUAAAGCAGGCUCGCGCUUGAAUACAUUAGCAUGGAAUAAUGAAAUAGGACGUUGACCCUAUUUUGUUGGUUUCUAGGAUUGACGUAAUGAUUAAUAGGGAUAGUUGGGGGCGUUAGUAUUCAAUUGUCAGAGGUGAAAUUCUUGGAUUUAUUGAAGACUAACUACUGCGAAAGCAUUUGCCAAGGAUGUUUUCAUUAAUCAAGAACGAAAGUUAGGGGAUCGAAGACGAUCAGAUACCGUCGUAGUCUUAACCAUAAACUAUGCCGACUAGGGAUNGGAUGAUGUUAUUUUUAAUGACUCA
rnacentral:rRNA from 1 species